rnacentral:lncRNA from 1 species
CUCUCUUUUUUUUUUUAUAGAUCUGAAAAUCAUUCUUAAAAUUUAUGGAGAAUUGAGUACAAAUUGUGGGAAAUCUGUUCUUUUUUCUGGCUAAACUUCAAAUUCUGGCGAUUUGCUCUCAUACAUAUCUACACUUCAUUGAUUUGCUCUCAUACAUAUCUACACUUCAUUCUCUAUCUCAGCAAGUGUUAGUAAACACGUGGCUUCUUGAAAGCCUCAUAUCUAAUCUGAGCACAAACAAAAUGGAUCCUAUAUUUCAUUAAAGGUUCUGCGUUCUCAUUUGAAAUAUUUUGAGGCUUUACUCCAAAACAAAAGCACUCCUCUUUGUUUCUGUUUUUACAUUCUUCAUGAAUUUCCUCUCUUCUCAUUGUUGUCCAUGUAUAGAUCCCCUUUAAACAUAUCCUUAAAAAUUCAUCUUAAAAUUAAUUUCUUGAAAAUAUGUAACUUAGCUACGAUAUAUAUGUGUCCUCCCUAUUCAAAUUACUGAUUUAUGAUUUUGCUCAAAUCUGUUUUACAGGGUUUUCAAACCGCUCUUAAUUCGUAAGAAAAUUGAGUGAAAAUCUUCAAAUUGAUUUUUUUACUAACAUGGUUCAAAUUAUACUGAUUACUCGAUUCAACUAGAGUUUUUUCAAUGUUCGAACAUUGUUACAAAUCCUAUAAGCUGUUUCUUUGAUUUUCUUUUUCUUUUUUCGUUUAUUUUUUCUUCGUGUUUUUUUUUUUUUUCUCUUCAUUACUUUCCAACUCUUUUUAUGGUUUUGUUUGUUUCUCUGUAUUUUCUCUUCUUUGUAAUGCCAAACAAAGAUUCUAGAUAUGUGAAUCAAUGCACGUUUAUGCUUAUGCGUAUAUGCAUUGUCCAGACCUUUAAGUUAUUAAUGGGCUUUGAACUUCUUCUUUUUUUUUGCCCCAAAUACUAAUAACCUAAGAUGAGUAAUAUAAUAUUCUCUAAGUAAAUGUAUUAAAUAAUUAGCAUAAGAAGAUACAGAAAAGGAAGGAAAUGAGAAUUUAAAGCUAUCACAUAUGUUCCAUCUUAAAAGUUGUGUCCUGAUGAAUGAUUUACGCUAUGUUGAUUCUUUUUAUGAAAUUAAUUUUUUAUUCAGAUUUGGGGUUUAUUGUUCAUGCAAAUAAUUUGAUCAUAACAGCUAUAGUUUGGUUGAGUCUUAACAUGAAAAAUAGAUUUCAGAGAUUAAGAGGAUGAGGUAAGUAUUGCCAAGUUAGCUUCCCCAUAGUGGGAACAGCCAGCUGGGCCUAUAUGGUGGUGCCCUCUUUUUAUAGGCCACCCUUUUGUGGAUGCAUGGCUGAGCAAUGCCUUGUAGUUAUAUCCUGUGCUUAGCAUUUUUUGAGAGAUGAAAGUAUGAGGUAAAACUCCUAAAAAUUCUAUCACAUUUCUUGAUUAUGGAUGUAACUUUUUAUUUUUGAAUUCCAAAUAGUUGUCUACUGAAUUUGUGUGAUGAAAUUUACCCUUAGGGAUUACACUAUUAUCCAUUAUCUAGGUUGCAUUCGCCCAUGUUUACAUGCAUGCUUUCAAGUGUUCCUUACAUUGUUGUAAAAUGCGAAAGUGUCGUUGACUUCAACCGGAACAUUAAUAUGAGAGAGAAUUGAUGGCCAUCGUGUUCGCCAUCCAAAAGUGGCGCCAUUACUUAUUGGGUAGACACUUCGUGGUACGAACAGACCAACGAAGCUUGAAGUUCUUGUUGGAAUAGCGUUUGGUGAGCGAGAUGCAUCAAAAGUGGUUAACUAAAAUCAUGGGCUACAACUUUGACAUCGGAUAUUAGCUGAGGGUGGAGAAUAAAGCUGCAAAUUCUCUUUCCAGAGUUCAGCCGGCUUUGAAUCUGUUGGCUCUGUCCACUUCUAAAGUGCUACAAUUAGAAGAUAUCAAGAAAGAGGUUGCUGCUGAUGGUAUUCUAGGAAAACCAGUGCUGAGCUGCAAUUUGAGAACAGUGUGAAAGAGGGAUAUGCCUUGAUCGACGGCGUAUUAUGUUAGAAGGGGAGGGUUGUUCUUCCUAGCCAUUCCAAUUUUGUCACUCUCAUGUUACAAGAAUGCCAUGACUCUAAGAUUGGGGGACACUCAAGAUUUCUUAAGACAUAUAAGAGGAUUGCGAAGAGGUCUAUUGGCAAGGGAUGAAGAGGAAGAUGAAGGACUAUGUGGCAGGAUGUGGGAUAUGUCAGCAGAAUAAAUAUACGGCUUUAUCGCCUGAGGGGGCUAUUGCUUCCUUUACAGGUUCCCAAAUCUAUCUGGGAGGAUAUCUCAUUGGAUUUUAUCAAUGGACUGCCACAAUCGAGGAGAGUUGACACCAUUUUGGCUGUUGUGGAUCAUCUAAGUAAGUAUGGACAUUUCAUAGGGUUAAAGCACCUUUCACUACCCCCCAAGUUGGUGAGGAAUUUAGUCAAGAGAUAAUUCGCUUGCAUGGUUUUCCUCGCUCUAUUGUGUCAGAUAGAGAUUGCUUCUUUAUGAGUACAUUCUGGACGAAAUUAUUUAAAGCAUAGGGGACUGCCCUUACACACAGCACAGCCUACCAUCCGCAAACGGAUGGACAAACAGAAGUCCUGAACAUAUACCUGGAGACAUACCUGAGGUGUUUCGCUUUAAAUAGGCCUCAAGUUGGGAGUCAGUUCUUGCAUUAGGCGAAGUACUGGUAUAACACUUCUUUCCAUACCGCAACGAGACAUUCUUCGUUUCAAAUAGUAUAUGGCCAUGAUUCACCCCACCUAUUGGCUCUUGAAAAGAGGUUGACACCUUGUUCAUCUGUGGAUCAACUUUUGCUGGAAUGAGAUGAAAUGCGGGAACUAUUUAUCUCAAAAUUCGGCCUUAUCGUCAGAAAUCUUUGGCUAGGCAUCCAAAUGAAAAGUUAUCUCCUCGUCACUAUUGCCCUUUUGUGGUUGAAUCGAAAGUGGGAAGGGUAACGUACAAGCUUAAACUCCCUGCCUCGGAAGCUAUUCAUCCUGUUUUCCAUAUAUCCCAGUUGCGUAAGGCCAUUGGUAAUGUUAAGCCCAUUUCUGCUCUCCCUCCACAGUUCUCUGCUACAGGGAAAUUCAUCUUGGAGCCAGAGACCGCUUUGGGAGUUUGCCCUAAUGCUAUUCACAUUGCUGUAGGUCCGGACAUUUUGAUCAAGUGGAAGAAUCUUCCAACGUUUGAGGCUACUUGAGAACUUUUUUAGACAAUUCAGGUACAGUUUCCUACCUUCCACCUUGAAGACAAGGUGGAUUUUGGGGCGACGGGUACUGAUAGACCCCCCAUAAGAUUCAAAGGUGCAAGAAAAAAGAAAAGAGCGGUUAUAACCAACGUGAAGAAUGCCAACUUAGCUUCAGUUAGUUGAUAGGAAUAAAAUAGUAAUUGUGCUCUGUAAGCGAAUGAAUGAAAUGUGGGUGGGAGGGGAUUGUAGGUAGGCUUUUACUGAUUUUUCAGUUAGAAGGGGGAGUGACUAAUCCUCUCUUAUAGCCUUGGAAUGUGUCUCUAAUAAACCCCCAUAAGAUUCACAUAUGCAAGGAAAAAGAAGGGAAAAGUUAUGACCAACGUGAAGGAUGCCAACUUAGAUUCAGUUAGUUGAUAGGGGUAAAAUAGUCAUUGUGCUCUGUAAGGGAACAAUAAAAUGUGGGCGAGAGGGAACUGUAGGUAGGCUUUUACUGAUUCUUCAGUUAGAAAGGGGAGAGUCCAAGCCUCUCUAAUAGCCUUGGAAUGUGUCUCUUAUUUUCCAAAAGUUCCAUCAAUUGAAUUUAUAAACUGUUUCGUUCUUCCGAUGUUCUUAGUUGAUUUUUUGCAGAAUUUCCAGUGAAGAAGCCACAUCGUGAGUCACAGGACCAAGGGACCUAUCAGGUUUUUAUCUAGCUUGCUGGAAUUUGGUUCCACAUUACAUUGAUCUUUCAUGUGUUUGAUUAAAAUAGGUUGAUGUAUUGUCAUUUCAAAAAAAGAAGCAAAUGGCUCCCACAAAUUAUUUUUUACCGAAUACAAGUGUAGGGCUGUAGCUCAAGAAAGGAACUUCACUUUCGAAAAUUCCACGUUAAUUAUAGUGGUGCAAAUGGUGCAUAUUACUCUUCGUCUAGAACAAGGACGAUGGGUAAUGAUGGAGUAAGUAAAAUUCAAGUAAAAGUGAUUCUCUUUUUGAAUUUUCUGCUGGUUCGCUUCUUAAUUCUACUUUAUAACAAUGGAAAAACAUAAGCUAAUUCAUCUAUAGGUCAAGCAUCUCAUAUACUAUCAAGGGAGAUCUAUGAGAAGGUGUUAUCUCUGGUCCUUUGAUGUUCAUCAUGUCUCAUUCUUUCAUUGAGUUAUUAAUUUAUAUAUAUUUCAUUUGAAAUACUAGAGGUAAAUACUAGAGGUAUAUAUUUCAUUGAGUUAUUAAUUUAUAUAUAUUUCAUUUCGUUACAAAAAAUCUAAACGCAAAUGGUAGGAUGGACACAAUGCUAACCCUACAUAUUCUUAUUGAAGGUAUGUAUUACUAUUCCAUGAUACAUUUUAUGUAACUUUCAGUUCACUGUCAAUUAAUUUUCUUCCUCGUUUAGAUGAACUUGGUGGUUUUAAUGACAUUCUCAGUGCUCGGGUUGGUCAUUGUUUGGUGAGAAAGAGAGAUAUCAUUGCCCAUUAUACUGAUUUCAAUGUCAGUGUUUGAUUUUUGUGCUUUUUUUUUUUUUGAACUUCUCUGGUAUCUUUCAAUUUUGAGGACUCUAGGGUCUUCUCAAGUUGUCUUAUGGUUGCUAAAAUUAGCAGCAAAUGCA